rnacentral:rRNA from 1 species
AUUGAACGCUGGCGGCAGGCCUAACACAUGCAAGUCGAGCGGAUGAAGGGAGCUUGCUCCUGGAUUCAGCGGCGGACGGGCGAGUAAUGCAUACGAAUCUGCCUGGUCUUGGGGGAUAACGUCCGGUAACGGGCGCUAAUACCGCAUACGUCCUGAGAGUGAAAGGGGGGGAUCUUUGGACCACACGCUAUCAGAUGAGCCUAGGUCGGAUUAGCUAGUUGGUGGGGUAAAGGCCUACCAAGGCGACGAUCCGUAACUGGUCUGAGAGGAUGAUCAGUCACACUGGAACUGAGACACGGUCCAGACUCCUACGGGAGGCAGCAGUGGGGAAUCUUGGACAAUGGGCGAAAGCCUGAUCGAGCAAUGCCGCGUGUGUGAAGAAGGUCUUCGGAUUGUAAAGCACUUUAAGUUGGGAGGAAGGGAAGUAAGUUAAUCCCUUGCUGUUUUGACGUUACCAACAGAAUAAGCACCGGCUAACUUCGUG